UACGUAGGGGCCUAGCGUUGUCCGGAUUUAUUGGGCGUAAAGAGCGUGUAGGCGGCCAGACAGGUCCGUUGUGAAAACUUGAGGCUCAACCUCGAGACGCCGAUGGAAACCGUCUGGCUAGAGUCCGGAAGAGGAGAGUGGAAUUCCUGGUGUAGCGGUGAAAUGCGCAGAUAUCAGGAAGAACACCCGUGGCGAAGGCGGCUCUCUGGGACGGUACUGACGCUGAGACGCGAAAAGCGUGGGGGAGCGAACAGG
rnacentral:rRNA from 1 species